UGGUGGAGUGAUUUGUCUGGUUAAUUCCGUUAGCGAACGAGACCUCGACCUUGUUAAAUAGUUUGGCUGAUCCUCUGGAUACGUACAAACUUCUUAGAGGGACUAUUGUGUGUGUAGCCAAUGGAAGUUCGAGGCAAUAACA
rnacentral:rRNA from 1 species